AUUACUCCUGGCAGCACUGAUCUAAUCUUGAGAGAAUAUUGAGCACUGAAGACACUCCACUUGAAGUUCGUUUUCUUGGAAAAACUGGACUUUGGGCAAAGAUCUGCCCCUGCCUUGACUACUGACAAAAUGCACAGUGUCCAAACUGGAGAAGCAUGAUACAAACAAAACAACUGUCAAACCUUGCCAAGAAAGGGUAAGGCAGUUUUUCAAAUUUUCCUGCCUCUGUCAAUGGUAUGUCAGAUACAAUAGGCAUUCCUAGAAACAAUGCUUUUUUUUUUCUAAGAAUAAUCUCAACAGAACACCCCUCCCUUCUGGAUUAUGCAGAAGGUGGCAUAGGCAGACAUUGGACUAAUGAAUAUAGAUCAACAAGGCACAGCCAAGGUAACCCUUUGAAGUCAGGAAAUGCCUUGAGGGGAUGCUCGCAGGCUGCCAUGUUGUAUUUGGUUCAGUCAUUUCUUGUAUCGUGAAGGAAACUCCUUCCCAGAGCAAUUAAAGUAUCUAAUGCCUAUUGUAAAGAAAAAAAUAGAACAGCUGUAGAAGAGAUAAGAUGAAAAUUCCAGGAGAAGCAAUAAAGUAAAUAUUAUAAAGAUUAUAUUUAACCAAAAGAGACCUCUUGAUUAAAAAAUGUGAUAGUUCAUCAAGCAGCAUGACAGUCAAUCUAAACUAACUUAUGUGACUAACCAAUGCUUCUCAUUUGAUCCUACAUAACUUGCCAACUACCCAAAAUUAAAGUUGGAGUGUAGUUUUACUUUUGUCUUACAGAGAAUGAAGGCUUCCAACUAAGGAAUCUGAAGACCACUGGACAAAUGAGACAUGUGAAGAACCAUCAAAAGAUACUGUCCCAAGAAAAAAAGAGCCCCUAAAGAUGCCAUUGUCACCAGACAACAUGAAGUAAACUUAAGAACAUGACACUUACGUUCCCGAGGUGGGCACCAUUCACUUCAGAGAUGAUGAUGGGAAUUGAAGAAACUUCAUAUAGAGUUUAUUUUCUUUGUCAUAAAAGUUAAUCACUGGACAAGAAAGUGCCCUUGCCUGGACUAAUGAUAGAAUGCUGUCCCAACUGGAGAAAUAGGAAACAAAGACAAAACUGCUAAACUUUGCAAAGACAAGGUAAGACAGUUCUUCAGAAUAUCCUGUUUCACAGAUAAGUUUGUCAUAUUUUCUGGACCUGUAUGUCAAAGAUGGAUGUCCCAACAAUACAGAGGAAGAUUUGAUGACUAUCCAGGUAGCCAGAUGCUUCUGUCAUUUCACAAAUAUUUUGGAAACCACUUGCUUGUACUUCCUGCUUACUCUGUUAAUACUAUUUCCUUCUCUGGACUCUGAACAAGUUCAAGAUAUAAAUAGAUAUAGUUACGGAUUUCCUUGUUAA